UACGAAGGGGGCUAGCGUUGUUCGGAAUCAUUGGGCGUAAAGAGCGUGUAGGCGGUCCGGUAAGUCCGCUGUGAAAGUCGGGGGCUCAACCCUCGAAUGCCGGUGGAUACUGUCGGGCUAGAGUGCGGAAGAGGCGAGUGGAAUUCCUGGUGUAGCGGUGAAAUGCGCAGAUAUCAGGAGGAACACCUAUUGCGAAGGCAGCUCGCUGGGACGUAACUGACGCUGAGACGCGAAAGCGUGGGGAGCAAACAGG
rnacentral:rRNA from 1 species